CACGAUAAGCUGGGUACUGGGGCUUCACUUGAAAUUGUUUAAAGCUUAAAAUUGCUACCCUGCUAACAUAUGCAUAGAGUACAGACAAUUCUGGGGCCCCAAGGCAGGCUUACUGUCCUGUCCUUCUUGGAGACCAUUAGUCCCCUCAGCUCUUGCGAAUCCUACUACCAAUCCAGGCCUCCAUCCCAGAGCAAAUGUGUGGGCACCCAUUUUUAAAGGUUAGGUUUACAGAACUUUGAUCUCUCCUGCCUCCGUGCACAAGAUCCUCAGGUCCAUACAUGAAGGUCCAUACAACUGAAUCAGCUGACAUGGUGAAUGUAAAGGCAAAGGGUGAUGGAGUGGUGGUUAUAGAUCGGUUUCAAAUGUUGUCAGUUCACGUUGUUCUCCACCAACAUAAAGACUUACCCCUGCUGCGAUGCUCCAAUAUUACUGAAGACUCUUGCUGUUUUCAGCAAGGUGGGUCACUUUCCCCACUGGUAUUUGUUGACAUGUGAUCACAGUGAGGCUGCCAAGAGGAUUAAAAUUGGGCAGCUUUAUAAUUCCUGUUCCUAGUAAGAUCAUCAACCGGAGAGAAUGUAAAUGAUGUGCAAUUAUCUAACUAUGAAAUUACAAUUUGUACGCUUGCUGACUGAGUAUGAGACUGUCUGAGAUUUGUUUGAUCCUUGCCUGGUUGAAUAAUGAUGUGUCAUCGAUUGUAUAGAAAUAAACUGAUCACUAUAC